GGGCCCGUAGCUCAGCUAGGUAGAGCGCUCGGCUCAUAUGCUGGGCUGAGAGACCGAGUGGUCGAGGGUUCAAAUCCCUCCGGGCCCA
rnacentral:tRNA from 1 species